AGGAUUCAGUUUAGGAUUUGAUUAGGAUUUGGUUUGGAGUUUAGGAUUUGGAUUAGGAUUUGAUUUAGGAUUUAAGAUUUAAUUAGGGUUUGGUUUAGGGUUUAGAGUUUGGAUUAGGGUUUGAUUUAGGAUUUAGGAUUUGGAUAGGGUUUGAUUUAUGAUUUAGGAUUUGGUUAGAGUUUGGUUUAGGAUUUGGAUUAGGGUUUGGUUUAGGAUUUGGUUAGGAUUUGGUUAGGAUUUAGGGUUUGGAUUAGGAUUUGGUUUAGGAUUUGAUUAGGAUUUGAUUUAGGAUUUAAGAUUUUAUUGGGAUUUAAGAUUCUAUUAAUUUGGCUUAAAGUUUGAAUGAAGUUCAAUAGGAUUUUAACUAUAAUUAAACUAAGAUUGAAUUGAGAUGUAUUUGAAUGACAUUUGUGUUCUUUCUAAUGUUUCUUUAAAAAUUCCUAUUGUUUGUUUGAAAUUUCUUUGAGGUUUUUUUGAAUUUGAUUAAGCUUGCUUAGCAUUAUUAUAAUCUAAUUAGAGUAUUAUUAAUAUUCUAUUAGAAUUAAGGUUUUGUUAUUACAAUUUCCAUUCUUCCUUCCACAACCAAGUGCCCGAAGCAUUCUCAAGCCAGACUUCACGUAUUACGACACCAUGUAUAUAAAUCACAAGAACUUUAAUUAUUUCAUAUCAGCUCAUAUUUUGAAUUAUUGCUAAGCUCAUUGGAGCAUGUCUCUAUGAAGAUUUGAAUUCAAUAUUACAUAUCAGCUAAGAAAAUAAUAAAAUUUAUCUGAUUCUUUUUUUGGAUAUUCUUAUUUUAUAUCUAAAGAAAGAAAUGCAGCUUUUGAUCAACAAUUGAUAAUUUUAUUGAAGCCAAAAUAAUUUCAUCUUUGAGUAGUGAAAUCAACAUUGACUAUUGAUUCAACUUUUCUCAAACAAAUUCAAUAAAGUAUGUCCUCUAAUCUUCUUACUCAUGAUAUCAAGAAUACUUCUUCUAAGGCUUAUAACACUUCUAAGUUUGAGUUCAAAAAUAGCCUACUUUAUUUCAAAAGAUGCCUAUAUGUACCAAACAGAGAAGCACAUUCACAAGUUCUUCAAACAUGUCAUGACUUUCUAACAAUAGGAUAUUUUGGAUAUAAUAAGACCUUCAA
rnacentral:lncRNA from 1 species